CUCGUCUCCCCCUCUCUUGUCUAAAUUACUCUGGAAUUUGGCUUCAAAAAAAGUGCAGAAUAAUUUCAUGUUUGUUGCACGAUUGUGGAUUGCGACGGUCUUCAUCUCAUCUUUCAAGGGUAAGUUAUUAUUUUGAUUUUGAUUUUGGGUGUGUACAUUAAAAAUUGGUACAACGUUCCUUUUUUCUCCCCACAUAAAAGCUGUUACCAUAUUUAUAUAAAUAUCAAUUAGUGUAUGAAACAGAAAAACUUUUCCAUGGGUUUUUACGAAUUAUUUCCAAAUGUAGUUUUAUUGGAAAUUGCAGAAAGUCGAUAUAAUUUAUUGGGCUGUAGUUUAAAAUGUAGCCAUUGCAGAACUUUGCUUAUGAUAGGUAUUUGCUAGAAUUUAAAAUGUAGUUUAAUAUGUUUAAUUUAUUGGACAGUUUGCAUGGCUGAUUAUAAUGGAUAGAUAAUCUAAAUUAAUAAUAAUGUUUUCUGAAAAGUGUCAAUCAAGAUUUUCUUAUAUAUCCACUGUUUUAAACAUAUGAACAGUAAUUUAAAUUGUCAUUACUUUAUAGGUUAAACUUAAUUUUCAUAGAUGAUGAGACUUCAAUUCAAACAUUCACAUCCAAGUUGCGGAGGAGUUAAAGCCUAAAGUUGGGCAUGAGUUUGAAACAAUUGAAGGUGUAUAUGAGUUUUAUAACACAUAUUGUUACAUCUCACUCAUUAUAGUCAAAGUAAAAAAUUCUAUUGGUCAAAGUCAAAGUCAAACGAGGACUAAAAUUAAGUAAAUAAUUUUAUGGGGUCUAAUUUGUAACUACUCAUACUUAAAUGGUCAGAAAUAAUAUCAAAUAAAAAUUUAGAGAUUCAAUGUUUUAUUAUUAUAAUUAAAAGACUAAAUGUUACCUUAUGUGAAGUUUGGUACUUGACUUGUAAUUAUACAAUAAUUAUCCACUUAAAGGAUAAGUAAUCCAUUUUCUUGUUUUGGAAAGAACUAGAAGCUGAGAAAGGAAGCAAAAGAGAGAAAACCGGUGGAAGAAAAAGGAGAAAAGAGAAAAAGAGAGAGAGAAAAAGAAAAAAGAAAAAAAGGAGGUGCCGGCCGACUAUGUGUAGGAGGCGGGAUACACUUCUUCAAGUAUUGGGAUCCUCAUUUCUUCUAAAAUCUCAAGUGGUUAAGUUUUACACAAACAUAAAUUUCUUAUUUUGGCUCAAUAAGUGGAAAUAAGUCCAAUUUCUUGAUGUUUUGGUGUGAAUAACUAUUUUUGGAAGCUUUUUAGUUAUGUGAAUCAAAUUUAUACUAACUUUUGGGUUUAAGCUUUGUGGGUGAAAACAUUCAGCAAGUAAUUGGGUGUAAGAUUCAAAGUUGAAUAAAGGAACCAAUUCAGGUGAGGAAUGGUGCAAGCUAAUUAUGGCUUUUGUAUGGACACAAUGGUUGAAAUUAUUGAAGUGGGACUUACCUAUUUACAUAAUUUUAUAUAAGUGUGGGAAGUAGUAAAAUGAUGAAAGGAAUGAGAUUAUAUAAAGUUGGUACAACUAUGUGCAUAUUAAUUAUAUUAAUUGGAAUUGUGAAGUUGGAAGUAAAGAAGAAAUACGACUACAUGAUUUGAGGUUUAAUUUCUCUAUUAAUUAAGAAAUUUUAGGCUAUUUUCCAGCAAGGUAAUGCACUGGUGCUACUUUGAAAUUCUACCCAGAAAGUGUUGUUUUUGUCAAAUAUUUUAGAGGCAGUUUUUCAUAAACAGGAAAUGGUGCCAGAUUUCUAUAUUUUUGAAAAUAUAGUGCUAAUAUUGAUAAUCUUUCGACUUUCUUGUAUUUUUUAGUAUGAAAACCAAAUUAAGUAUUAAAUAUUUGGGAUUAGGUGUUAAAAUAAAUUAUAUAAAGGUGAACCUAAUUGGGAUUGUGGGAUUGCAUUGAAAACAAAAGACUUCAAGUUCUUAUUAGUAAAUUAUUAUUUCUAAUGGUAGGAAAUAUGUUUAAAGUACCUUAGUGAUGAGAUAUGAUUUCUUGGGACGAAUACGGGAUGUCAUACUUGAUAUUUGAAGUUGAAGCAGUGAUGAG
rnacentral:lncRNA from 1 species